rnacentral:tRNA from 1 species
GGGGCGGUGGCGCAGCUGGGAGCGCGUCAGACUGAAGUCAAACUUCAUCAAUUAUCUGAAGGUCAUCGGUUCAAGCCCGGUCCACCCCA